rnacentral:rRNA from 1 species
UACGGAGGGGGCGAGCGUUAUUCGGAAUUAUUGGGCGUAAAGGGCGCGUAGGCGGCUCGAUAAGUCAAAGGUGAAAUCCCUCGGCUCAACUGAGGAACUGCCUUUGAAACUGCCGAGCUCGAGUCCGGGAGGGGGUAGCGGAAUUCCCAGUGUAGCGGUGAAAUGCGUAGAUAUUGGGAGGAACACCAGUGGCGAAAGCGGCUACCUGGACCGGAACUGACGCUGAUGCGCGAAAGCGUGGGUAGCAAACAGGAUUAGAAACCGGUAGUCC